CAGGUACGCUCAAAUCCAAUCCAAAUCCCUAUUCGACUCCAUUUACAGCCACUUCUUUUAUCAAAAACCUAACACUAACUUUACUCACUUUUAGCUUCUUUGAUUUAUCUUUACAAUUCUGAAUUGCCUUCCUUUAACGACAUUGAUUUGAUGGCUGAAGUGUUCGAUAGACAGGCAAUGUGUUGAGUGGCAGGCAGGAAGUUAUUGUUUAGCAAUGGCAGAAUAUAUAGCUUCCACUCCAUGUGUCAAGCUGCAUUUAUGGACAAGCUGUGUCAAAGAGAAGGGCUAUUUAAUCCGGAAUUCACAUUUUAAGACGCCACAGAGAAAGUAUCCUCGUGGAAGUUGGAAAGUUCUCUGCCUCCAUUCUCGGAAAACAUAUAGAUCUGGACUCUCAAAUUUUAAAUCAAGUCCUUUUAUCAGGGAAUCUGCCUUGAGGUGUAGUUGCUUGGGAUCCUUGGUGGACCCUGAUGGUCUUACAGCUUCUGAUUUGGUUUCUGUUAGUGAUCAGUUGCUGCUGAUAACCAGCAUAGCCCUAACAUAUAUGGCUGGAGUACUUCCUCUUAAGAGGCCCAAUUUUACUUCAUGGAGAAUCUCAUAUGACAAUGUGGUUGGUGAAACUGCAACAUCUUCUGGUAGUGCCAAAAAUAAUGAUGACUGUGUUAAUAUAAAAUGUGCCUGGGAUGCAGUAAAGGAGAAACUUUUAUAUGCUCUCAAUGCUGUAGAACACAAGAGCAAUCUCGGAAACAGACUCCUUGAACUUGAUCAAGAGAAUGCAAAGAGGCCCUUAAGUUUGUAUGCUGUAUCUGAGGGGCCCAAGUUGCGAUUGCUUUGGACUUCUUUUAAACAUCUCGAGGAUGAGGUGAAUAAUGUUUUAGGUGAUUGCGAGGCUUUUACUUUGGAUGAUUGGUUGACUAUUUUCCCUGAAACUAUUCAAAAGGCUUUUGACUGCAUAUGCAUGGCUUGGCUAGGGGAAGAACUUUGCCUUGAAAACAAGAAACUCGAUGAGGCACUUUUCUCGUUGAUGAUUCAGAAAUUAAAGGGAGAUGAAGUUGUUUUACAGACCAUAAGAAAGUCAGGCAAGGAAGAUCUUUAUGCAGAAUUAUUAUACUUUCUUAGAUUUGGGUUUCUCAGGAAGAGUUGUUGUUAUGACCAGAGCUUGUUUUCUUUGCAUGGAGAUUCCAUAUUAGAAGAUUUGGUAAUAACUUUAGCAGAUGGCGUUGCCAAUGUUUAUUUGGAGCUUAUUUCUGUUGAUGGUAAUUUGUCAAAUGAAAUGAACAACCUGGGAAUGACUAUGUGUAAUUUGUCAACCCGAGCAAUCCAAAGAUUGCGCAAUGAGGUGGCUUUGAAUCAAUGGUUGUAUCAAAAUAUGGAGGCAGUUGUAUCAAUGUAUGAGGAUCGAUUUGAUCUGUGCACUCUACAGUCCAAAAUCAUUGAGGAACCAAACCUGAGUCAGGCUGAAAAUCGUAGCUGGUGGAAGAAGCUUACUCGAAAAAAAUCUGAAACAAUUCCAGCUUCAUUAUAUUAUGUCAUGAUAAACCAGUUCUCCAUGCCUGUAAAACGGACAAAAGAAUUAAGGGCCUUGACAGGGUGGAGAUACUAUUUCAGUCUGUACCUUGAGUUAUCUGAUAUUACCAUGCCGCUGAUUAGAGCUGUCAUCGACAAAGUUAACAAUGCCAUCUCAUUCUUUCUAGUUUCUUUGAUUGGGAGGUCAUUAGGGCUUAUCUACACUGGAAUUAGGCAGUCUCUGCGAUGGAAGUGAGAUUUCAAGGCUUUCCCUCAUGAAUUAUGCUAUCCUUUGGUGAUUAUCCUGUGAUGAGGUAUUAUUCCUAGCCUCAAAUGUAGACAAGGAGAAAUUUGACAUAAGAAAAGUGGAGAAAAGUCAUAUUUGAAAGGCUGAAGUGAUGAAGCAUCACUAUCCAAACCAAAGAAAGAUGAACAAAGGGUUCAAACUACAAUGUUUUAAUUAGGAUUGCACAUUUUUUUCACCAUAAAAAUGAAGCAUUUUACCUUUUUACAUGCUAUCAUUAGAAAAUCAUCAUCCAAUAUGUGAGAUAUUAUUAUUAUCAUUGUGUGUGCUUGUGUUUUAGUGUUGGUGGACCAUACUGUCCUUGUCCACUUCCAUUCUUUAUUUCAUUUUUGGCUGAUGAAAGGAUACUUACAUUGGAUGUAUUUUUCUUUUUUCUUUUUUUUUUGUAUUUUUCUAUUUUAAAAAAUUUAACUCACAGCCCACAGACAGAUUAAGGGCAGUAAAGUAUGCAUGCAACAUAUAUUUCUCCAUAA